UACGGAGGGGGCGAUCGUUACACGGAUUUACUGGGUGAGAAGGCCGUAUGGCCGGUCUCUCAAGUCCGAUGCUAUAGACCGAGGCUGAACCUCGGGAGUGCGUUGGAUACUGUGAGGCUAGACGGUCGGAGAGGGCAGCGGAAUUCUCGGAGUAGCGGUGAAUUGCGCAGAUACCGAGAGGAACGCGAAUAGCGAUGACAGCUGUUUGGACGAUUUGUGGCGCUGAGGUGCGAGAGCGUGGGCAGCAUGCAGG
rnacentral:rRNA from 1 species